ACAAGGUACCUUAAGUGGUGUAAUGUAUUGGGCUGGCUCGGAGCCUUGGGGAGAGAUUGAGGAGCUCCUCCUAUCCUCCAGGAAGCCAUUUGCCUGUCUGACGUGGCAAUGCCAAAUGCUUAAAGGAUUGGAAGAAGAUAUUUGCCUAGGAUGAAUCUAGAUUGGUCAAGAGAAUAAUCUCUGAGAGAAACAGCCUUAGUGGCCUCUUGUAUUUGUGAAUAGAUGGGAUAUAUAGUGCAGACCACUCACCUAAUUAAGAAGGGAUUCAUUUUCUUUUAAGUCCAGUAAGAAGAGCAUUUUUUAUAGGCUUAAUGUGUUUCUGCAACCAAAGCUGUUGUACAGAUUCAUCAAUCCAUCUGUAGGCUGUAGCAAAGACAUUAUCAGUAGCUGUGUGGGCUCAGAAGUUACCACUGCAGUUCUUCUUUCCUUCAGGAGGCCUUAUUUCCUGCUGCUGAAUUAAUUCAAUGAUACAGUUGGCCUUCUAAAACUUUUGCAAGAACCUCAAGAUUUUCUGUAUGAUUACUGUGGUGUAUGCGUACUUGUUUAUCUUCUGCCUUGCAUAUACAGAAUCUGGCUUUUUCAGUCAUGCCUAGUGUGAAUAGAGUGCUUGAAGUGUCAUCAGGAAAUUCUGAAUGAAGGAUUAGCCAUUGUCUAAAAUGGUGAUUUUUAGAGGUUUGUAAUAUAAUUGAAGUGUCUUCUCAUAAAGACAAACCCAGCAAUGUCUUUCAUUGCAUUACAAUUAGUCCUGUCAAGUUUCCAAUUCUGUUUCAAACUAGGGCCAAGGAAAAACCUUGCAUGUGCACUAAGAGGAGUAAUAUUAUCCUGUCCUCACUGCUGGAAACAGGUCAAUCCAGACUUUCCAAAGCAUGGGAGGGAUCAGUGAAAGAUAAUUUGAAUUCCAAUAAUUAAAAUAGAACUAUUAUAAGGAAUUUAAAAUAGCCUACACUAAUAACUAGAUAGCCCUAAUCAUAGAGGUCUGUCAGGUCCAUUUGUAAUACCUGAUAAAAUCAGUACAUUUAAGGAGAAGGAAAGCAGAAGUUAUAAACAUAGAAUCCAGUGAAAUAGUUCCAUACAUAAUUGCUGCACUGUAAGUGAACAAUAGCAUUUCAUAUUCAACCUUUUUUUUAACUACAAUUCAGUGUCAUAAGUUUGUUUCUGGGCUUGCAAGGUUGGAAAUUGGACAUAAAUUAUGGAUACUUUCUACUGACCUAUAUGUUAAAUGAUCAAGAAUUAUAGAAGUUUCAUGCAAUAGUCUGUUCUGCAUGUAUAUUUAAGGAGAAUGAGAAGAAUAUUAAAAAAUGGUUGUUUCUGCUGUUUCAAAUAAUAAAAGUAGUUGCUCUGCUACAUACACAUAAAGCAUUUCUCCCAAGGUCAAAAGGAGAGGUCAGAGCCAAAAUAAAAAUUACUCCUGUGAGUGGUUUGCCACAUGAUCUUUUGUAUGUUUUGAAAGGUCAAAGACUGUGGGACAAAUCUAAUAAACAGAUCUCAGGAGUAUUCUAUUCAAUUUCUGAGGAAACAUUACAGAAUGGUAGAAUUGGGAUUUUGCUACACUGAAAUGCCGAUUGUUUUGAGAUCUUUUGUCUUGUAAUUAUGAAGGUGGCUUAGUUCCAAGUGAGUCACUGAUUGGAUAAGUCCCUUUCCAAAGAAGAAAGUAGAAGCAGUCUUUAGAAUUUCUGUAUGCUGAUAUUAGAAAGUGUUCAAAGUGAUGCUUGGAUCUUCUUUCCUCUUUUCUGUACUGAACUUUACAAAAGAGUGCAUGUCACCAAUAAGAAGCAUAACAACAGGUGAACCAUCUCUUGUACAAUCAGUAGUUCAAAGUCAUUUGCACCUUUGGAGAAACACUUCAUGAGUAUUUCUAAUGUAUGCAGAAAAUAACCUCAUAAUAAUCUGAGAAACCUCUGGUCCUUUCUGGCCAUUUUCUUAUUGAAAAUAAAUAAAUAAAUAAAUAAAUAAAUAAGAUCAAAGAGAGAACCUGUGGUAUCAUAAAGGCAGUGUACUUGGAAAUACCUGUCAAAAUCUUUCAUCUUCAAAAUGAUUUUACACAAUUCUUAAUUUUAUUAUUUAUAAUACUUAUAUCUAUUUAUAUACUUGUAUACAAUCCUGUAGACACAAUUUUGACUGCAGUUUCAUAUGUUGAUUGUUGGUGACAGGACAAAAACACUGGGUUCUCUUACUAUGGGUACACUUUUCAUUUUUCAAUUUGCUGUAGUAGUAAAAUUAUGAUGGUAUACCUCUGUCUAUACAGUCAAGUUUUUGUUUCAAAGAGUACAGGUGUGAUCAUUAUCUCAUUCAUGCUGACUCUUCUUCAGUAUUUAUCAUAUCACCUGUUUCAGUGGAACUGAUUGUGAUUUAAGUUGGCAAGGAUAAAAUCAGCCUUCAUGAUGAUUAAAGCUGAUAACCAUUCUCUAUGAAAUACAGUAAUUUUGAUAUGUGUUUGCACAAUGUUAUAUUGCUACUUGCUCUACUUGCUUCCCAACAUCACUCAGUUUUUUUUUGUUUGUUUGUUUGUUUGUUUGUCUUUUUGCCAUGGACUGUUUCUUUACACUAAAAAUAUAUUGAGGUAUUUACCAUAUGAGCUAAAGUGUGUAAAGGCGCUUGACUGGAGUGUAUACAAACCUUCUACAAUAAUACAAAUAAAUGAAGAUAAUUGACGUAAGUCUUGUCUGUUUCUUACUAAGGAGAACUGUUUUAUAACCAGCAUCAUCCAGCCCAGCAUCCAUGUGGUAUCUAGUACACAUCCUUAGGGGGGUGAAAAGAAUCAGAACAGAGCAAAUAUAUCCUCAGUGAGGGAGCAGUUGGAGUCUGCAGACAAUGUGGAACAUUACUUCAGAGGAGCAAACUGCUAUUCUAAAGGCUGGAGACUGAAAGCUAAAGGUAACAACUGAAAUGAUUUUAGUGUUGUUCUUACAGCAGAAACUUCCCAGAGGCCCCAAACACUUUUCAUUCCUUCCCUUGUGCCAGAAGCACCAAUUCAUUCUUACACAGGAUUCAAAUUGCACAGCUGUUCCCUCAAUAACUUUCACAAUGCAGUUUGUUAUUGCUAAUACAGAAAUCUACAGCACAUUGAAAAGUGGAAAUAAAAUACAAGAUAUUUAAUGGCUAGAUACUUUUAGGAUGACUUAAAGAAACCAUACAGGUUUCUAUGGCAAACUGAAAUUUCCUGGUGGGAGGAAGUCAGCAUAACUUCUUCACAGAGGGAGCAACCUGAAUUGAUGCAUUAAGGGAAAAGAAGAGUAUGAUAUAAACACAGUUUGCACCUGGAAACCAUGCUUACUAUGUUCUGCAUUGCCCACAGUGGGAGAAUGAUGCUGCAAACUCACCUGGUCUCUUCCUCAGCUUCUGCAACAGGAAUGGUGCUAUCCCCCGAACAGGGAAAUGAAAAAUACGAAAGACAUGCCACAUUGGAGUUUUCUUCUAAUUGCUUAACUUCAGAAUUUCGCUUAUCUGCUACCAAAGUGCUAAUUUUCUGGGAACUCUUCAUAGUAGUAUCACUCCUAUGUAUUUACCUAUGAAGUUCUUCUAGUAGAUGAAUUGUUUACUCAUAAACCUUCAAUUUCCACUUCACUUAUUUAAAGUGAGUUUCUUCUAUAGAAUGAACUCUGGAUCAUGGCUUUAAUUUAAUUUAUCCCUAAGUAACGCAGAGCAGAACUUCAUUUUAUGGAGGAUGGAAAAAAAUAGAAUAGUGAAUUUCCAUCUAUAAAUUUUACUCUAUAUUAUUGCAACAGUUUAGGAACUUAUAACAUAUACAGUUUAAUAUAUUCCAUAUUAAAGCAAUCUCACAUAAAAUAUCCAUUGUUGCUAUUUAUUUUCUUACUUUUUACAGUGAUUUCUAUUCCAAAAAUAAA